CCUCCCCUCACUGGUGCGCAGAGAUGUGCCAGCAGCUUCCAGGAGCAGUGUGGGGCUAUGGCAGGCAGCCUGCCUGAGCCUGCUACACCGCUGACUGGUAGCCACCUGUGCUGGAUAAGCCAAGGCAUGGAGAGGUGAAGUGGUUUGCCUUAGAUCACACAGCAAGGCAACGACAGCACCCAAGAGUGAUGAAUCCCAGUCUCCUGUGCUAAUCAUUGGACAUCCCUCCUUCGUAUCCAGUCCACAUCUCAUUGCAUCUACUCGGCUAGUGAGUCAUGUGCCCCAGGCUCCUGCCUGCACUUUCAGCUCCCAUCCAAAACCAGGACUGACAAACACCCUUCCUCCCAGUGGGUUUGCAGAAUUUGAAUUAGAUACAGGCACAGCAUGGCAGAUUGGAUCUGUAAACACCAUCCAUCCUGAACUCUGGCACCACAGCCACUUCGCAUCUUCAGAAUUAAAGAAUGUAGGCAAAAUUAAUGCCAGUCAACAAAGUUUAUGAAAAAUAGGGCUUGUCAAAUAAAUUUGUCAUCAUUCUUUGUUGAGAUCAUAAUUCCAGAUUAACUUUCACAUGUAGACAAAUUCUAAGGAUUUGACUUAGUCCCACAUGAU